GAUGAAGAACGUAGCGAAAUGCGAUAAGUAAUGUGAAUUGCAGAAUUCAGUGAAUCAUCGAAUCUUUGAACGCACAUUGCGCCCGCCAGUAUUCUGGCGGGCAUGCCUGUUCGAGCGUCAUUUCAACCCUCAGGCCCCCAGUGCCUGGUGUUGGGGAUCGGCGGAAGCCCCCUGCGGGCACAACGCCGUCCCCCAAAUACAGUGGCGGUCCCGCCGCAGCUUCCAUUGCGUAGUAGCUAACACCUUGCAACUGGAGAGCGGCGCGGCCACGCCGUAAAACACCCAACUUCUGAAUGUUGACCUCGAAUCAGGUAGGAAUACCCGCUGAACUUAAGCAUAUCAAUAAGCGGAGGA
rnacentral:misc_RNA from 1 species